rnacentral:lncRNA from 1 species
AGCUUGGUUCUACAGCCAUUGGGAUCCAGACAUCAGAGGGUGUGUGCCUAGCUGUGGAGAAGAGAAUUACUUCCCCACUGAUGGAGCCCAGCAGCAUUGAGAAAAUUGUAGAGAUUGAUGCUCACAUAGAUUAUCUUUGUAUUCCUUGUUGCCUCUGCCCACUUUUUUGGUCUUUAAUUCCCCUGCCUUGGCUUCUGACAUCAUUGUAUAAUAGUAUUACAGGGU